CUGCACUUCUGUAACACACUAGAAAAAAAUCAAGUAUCAGGCUCUUACUGUAUUAUGGGUGAGGAUGGGAAUCAGAAAUUAUUACAGAAAUUAAGUUUUUGAAAAAGCACUGCAGCGUAAAAUAAAAUAUAAAAAUAAAAUAUUUUUGUAUUAAAAAAAUUUCAUUAAAUUAAAUUUAAAUAAUAAUAAUUAAGUAUUAUAUAUAUAUAUAUUAUAAGUCUCAAGUGCACUUAAACUGAUAACUGGAGACCCAAGACUGAUUAAUUAAGUUAUUUUUAAUUAAUUCAUUUAAAAAAUCAGUUAAUUUAUUUGUAAAUCCAAUUAGAUGUACACAAUGUGACAAAACUUUUUAAUCAUCAUUUAUCAUCGCCUAGCAUUUUCUCUCAUUACAUUUAAUUCAAACGGCAAACUCACAACCCAACUAAAGCAUUUAAGGACCGCUAACGCAAACCUAAUGUCCCGAAAAUCACUUAUCAGUGGUGUUUUAAAAUAAUUUACCUGAAUAAGCACCAAUUCUUGAACUGGCGUGUACUUCAUCUACACUGUUAGCGUCAUCACAGCUCCAUUCGUUACAACACAGUCGGCUCUUUUUAAAGAAACGAGCUCCGAUACAUCAACAGCACUCAUAAGAAAUUCAGCUACAAGUCAUCAGCGAGCUAAACAGAUGUUAUCAGCUUCACAUCUUUCAGAUAAACCAAAUACACAGGGGUUUUGCAGUUUGCCAUCAAAUCCGGGGUCCCGGUGCUCCCUGAAGGAGGUGUCCUGCUAUAAGAGGAUUAUACUCCUAUUAUCUGCCCCGGGAGGGCAUUAGAGCGGCCUCUGCUCCAGUGUUUAACAGGGCAGGACCUUGCCCUCAGCAACAACACCAUAAUGGACAGAUGCAGCCGCCGAUGGGAAACCUGGCAGGAUGGGGUCGAAAGAACACACGUUUUAGCCUUGAAAACCCGCCAUCCAACCACCGCUAGCAUCCAAACUCAUUCAACUCACGGAGGAGAAGGCAAAUGGAACAAUCUGCAAUUCUUUCUGAUCAGUGUGGCUAAAACAUCCCGGCCCAGAAUCAAUACGAGCAUCAUACAGCAGCAAUCAGAAAAGCACUUUGUCCUGCACUUGUGCUUGUGCCCCAUGAAUGGAAUUAUCGAUCUACUCCAAAGAGCAUCGACACAGUGACCAACCGAACCCUCUACUAACUGCAGCGCAUGCAUACAAUACACAAACGGUCAAACAAAGGACAGACGCAAACUGCACACUUAUUGGAAAGAAAGAAAAAAAUCACACAUGAGAUUGUUUCUACUAUGGAGCAAAGAAAAUAAAUGGAGAGCUAACUGAAAUGUAUGUCUCCUGGUUAGAAAAAGUUCCCAGUAAUCUCACACGUCUUGUCUAGAGUUUCAGGAGAGAUCUCAACAAAGUUCUCUGCUAUACAAUAAAAACAAAAGUCUGCAAUCAAAAGAACUCAAACAUUUCAACUCAUUUUAACUGAUUCAUGUUUAUCUCUACGAGUUUUAUUAGAAAUGUCUGAGACAAAACUAUUGAGAAAUAUGUUAAAAUAUAUCAAACUGAUUAAAGUCAACACUCGCAAGUCAUUUUCUUCUAUGAUGUGUCAUUUUCCCAAGUGCGACAGGAUAUUCAAACAGAAAAAUGAAGGAAAUCAUAAUAAUAAUGAUAAUGUGGACUGAUGAAUUGUUCAGAACACAGGAAUGAUUAGGCCUAUCAAAACCUUAAUAUUUAAUCAACUAAAAUAAAAAAUAAAUGGAAUCAAAUCAAUUAUGUAAUUUUUAAAUGUAAUAUUAUAAUAAAGCAAAUACGGUCAACAUUGAUUUAGUUGACUUUUAUAACAAAAAAGGAAUAAAAUCAAUU
ensembl:lncRNA